rnacentral:ncRNA from 1 species
AACAGGAGUGCUUAAUAUAUUAGGCUGAGAGACGGUCUGAUUAGAACGUCAAUCCUAAGGGGAAACCCGUAACCUGAUCCGGAUAAUGCCGGCGUAGGGAGUAUAU